CAGCACUCGUGACUUGCCAUAAACACUCCAGGGGAGGCAGAUGACUCAUGCUGAACUCACCAGAAGCCGGCCAUCCCCAGGGUGGCUGGAAAGCAAAGCUCUCUUGAUGUACACGCUGGCAAAGGGCCCCUCACAGAACCCAUCCUCACCAGGCAAACAAACCAACCACCAGAAAGCUCAAGUCUCUUCAGCUUGCUACAGCAGAUGAGUGAGCAGUCUACCAGUCUGGUGCUCGUUCUGGUGCAGACAUGCAGGUCCCAGAGAGCCUCUUCACAGAGAGAUGCCAGUUUGGACAAAAGGUUCAGAGAGUCGGAGGCACCUAGGCUCACAUCCACGUUUUUCUUCUCAUCAACAUCCCUAUGUAAAAGAAGGGCAAGGCGGCGGCAGGACAAGAAAAAUCCCAGCAACUCAGCAUGACCUUACAUUUUGCACUACUCACCCAAAUGCUUCUUCCUCAGAUGUUUGUGGAGACCUAAAACCAGGAUCCAGAGUGGCUGGCUGCUUAUGCAACUGUCGGUGGCUCCAAGGGUAUGCAUCAUGAGAGAGGCCACCUUGGAUACUGUCCUGCCUCCUUGACCCAGCUUCUUAGAAACCCUGGACAGUCUAGUGUGCCUUGUUAGUCAAAGCAGUCAAAAGGCCCACCCGGGCUCAAGAGGAGAAGAGCCAGCCCUCAUCUCCUGAUGGAAGAGUCACAGAGCUUUAGAAUGAGCAUGUGGGGUUGAAAACAUUGUUGUGGACAUUUUUUGAAAAAUACAAUCUGCCAUCAGACAUUUCGCAGAUGCUGGGGGGCAGGACGGUCCUCAGCUGAUAUCUGAGUUGCAAUCAGGAAAAACAAAAAAAAAAACAGCACUACUAUUUUUUAAGACAAAAUAUUAACUGAACUAGACUUCAAAUCAAACUGAGAUCAUUUGAAAGAACACGGAUAAUGAAUAGAGGCUUUUAUUAUCGUGGAUUUCCCAGAAUUUGGCUGUGAAAAUCAUCAUGAAAAUGAACAAGCGGAAUGAAAAAUGUUUCUCUCUCAACGGUGCUGGAGAUUCACCAGGGAAGAGCUGGAAGCCGGCCCUGACAACGUCAGAAGGUCAGACCUUGGUUGUCAGGGGGACUGACCUGGUGAGACAGUGUGGAGAGGAGGUGGUCGGACAGAUCCGGGCUAGCCUAGAAAGGACAAGACACCGCACAUUCUUCUAACGUCGUCUGCUCCACCUACAUGUGUGUUCUCUCACGAGUGACAGCUUAGGGACAUGGACUUGAGAGCUUGGGAAUCUCCUAUUCCAUUUGGAGCUUUAGCAAGUGAGUCAAGGGCUUACAGACCUUGGCCUCCUUCUUGGUCUCUGACCCCAGAGACCAUCUCCUGAAAAGGAAGGCUCCCCACACCAGGCACUCACUCCUGUCCCCGUUGCUCUGGCUUUACAAUGAGUCUGCAUGGUGAGUCCCUGCCGUCAGACCUGAAGUCCUCUGUCAAGGGACCCAGAGGGACCUUCAGGUCAUGCAGAUUGGAAUGUGGGGACCCCGCCCUACAUCACUGUACCAUCCACAGUCUCAGGGUUGAAGCCGGGUGGUGGGGGGUGGGGCGGCCUUCGUGUCGAGAGAAAUCGUUUGGGCUCAGAUAAAGAAAGCUUUGAUUAAUGGGAGUGGAGUUCCGUGGUGACGCCCAUUUGAAAACUAUCCUGAUUUUCUGCUCUAGCUGCCUGAGCAGCAGGACUGAGAGAAGGCCUCUCUCAGUACCCAGCCGUCUCCCCUGGGUUGACAUCCUGUGGCCUCUGGGACUCCAUCUGCUUUUCCAUAAGCCACACCCCCAUCUCCCACACCCUAACUGAUCACUGAUCUCAAGGGUGAUGCUUUGGCCACUUCCUAGUCUGGAUUCUUUGGGUUUGGAGGGCAGCGGGUCAGUGCUCCCCUGUGGGCGUGGGAAUCAAGAUUCACUAGACUCUGUGCAGGUUAAGUGAAGUUUAUUUGGGGAGAGUGUAUUUACACAAGAAACAGAUGACUGCCGAGGGUUCCAGCUUUAAGGAUACCGACCCUGCCACCAGGAUGCUUCUCGAGAAGGAAGCAAGAGAGAGCUCCAAGCCCCAAACCUAAUCCUUAUCGCCGGUCAGGUCCGCACCUGGGACCACGCCCUUGGGUGUGGGCAGUGUUACCGUGUGGAGAUGGAUAUCACUACAUUCCCCGACUUCUCUUUAACUACACCGUCCAUGACGCUCUUUCACAGACUCCUAGAAUGCAAGGCCUGCAAAGAUCUUAGUCUCUGAGACUUAUAGCGCCUCUCAUUUUUGCCGACAUGUAUCACAGGUUGGAACACUAAGGUCCAGAGAAGGGGAGAAGACGCAUCUGCCCAUCUCUCUAUCAGCACCUAUGCUAGGACUCACAGAGAGGCCCACUUGGGGUGUGGCACACGCCUGAAUUCCCCCCUGCAUCCCCCUUCCUUGCAAAGGGCAGGCCCCGCUGGAGAUCAUGCCAGACGGUGUCAAACAGGAACGCGUCUUCCUUCUUGAAAUACAUUCUGGAUCAGCAGACAGGCCCCCUUCAAGACCCCAGCAAUGCGGUUUGCCCAAAGCCUAGCACACAGUAACUCAGAAACAUAUGUGGUGAGCAAUAACAGUCAUAAAUUUUAUGAGAUUAUGUGUUCCUAAUGUGAGAUUUCAAGCUGAUGUGUUUGUUGCGCUAUGCCAAGCUUCAGUGUGAUUCGAUCAAGUUGUACUUAAUCUUCCCUUAUUUACUCCGGGUGAGAGUGAGUCAUGGAGUAGUCUCUGGUCCAGUCUGCUGAGCUAAUUUGCCCCAAGUAUUGUGAUGGAGUGGUGAUUUGUUUUCUCUGAGUGCUCAGAGUUUAUUUGCUCAUAUCAUUAAAUGGGUCUGGACCACAUGUAGUGAGAAGACUGUAGCCUAGGACCCCUCCGAAGAGCCAGCCUGGGACGGGGGAUAUCUCAGACGUGUUACAGCUUCUUUUCCUCCCAAACUGAGUCAUGCACAAUGCUUUGUGUGUCUGUUGACUGGAAGACUUAACUCUGUGUCAUUUUUUACAGAGAAAGCCAUCUUGACCACCUCCCCUGCAUCCCAAAGCCCAUAGCCAGUGAGUCUAGAGUGAAGAGAGAGUAUUGUCAUCUCACGGAAGAUGAAAAAGGCCCAGACGUUUUGCCCAAGGCUAGGAAUGAAUCCAACCACCAAGUUUGUUCCCUAGGGAGAUGAUGGGACUGUGCAGAUGGAAUCUAGGGACUUGACACAGGCCUCGCUGUUCUUGGGCUAAGAAUAGUGAGAACCAGUCUACGCUUGACAGCUAGGGUUUGGGGACCUUCUGCUGUUACAGGGAUGGGAGAAAUGUGGCCCAUGGGCUCGGGGCAGGGGUGAGAGAGUUUUCCAUGACUUCUCCUUUGAUCGUGGUGCUGACUGUCCCAAUUUUUCUGGGGUUCACAAGUUUCCCAGGGUGUGGGGCUUUCAGAGACGAAAUGUGGAAAAGUUCUGGGCAAAACAGGACAAGUUGGUUACUCUAACCUUAAUGUCCCUUGACUUUGGCAGCUUAGGCCUUCAGAUUUAGACUAAGCUUUGGGUUGGGAAUGGGAAGGCCACUGUCUCCUCUAACAAAAGGGCCACUGCCUGGCCUCUGUUGUGGGAAAAAAGGUCACAGUUUCAGUUUCUAUCUCUGACUGCUCUUGAACUCACAUUAAGACAUAAUUGACAUCUUAACAGUAUUAAGGUAUGGGGCCGUUAAGAGGGGGUCAUGAACAGAUUAAGGUAUUAAUAGUCUGCCUGUGGAUGCUAGUUACUGUGGCAGCCCCUCAUAAGAAAGAGAGUCCCGUCCCUCAGAUUCCCUUUUCCAGGCACAUGCUUGACCUUCCGAGUCUCCGUCAUGCAAAGGCGUAGCAAAGGAAUUGUGCCAUGCCCUUGGCUUCCAAGCCUCAUCAAAUAAAGAAAUAAAUUAAAUUUCUAAUUUUCCUAGUCUGUGGUAUUCUGUUACAACAAAAUAAAAUGGACUAAGACAUAAACCUGC
ensembl:lncRNA